rnacentral:rRNA from 1 species
GAGACACACGGCGGGUGCUAACGUCCGUCGUGAAGAGGGAAACAACCCAGACCGCCAGCUAAGGUCCCAAAGUCAUGGUUAAGUGGGAAACGAUGUGGGAAGGCCCAGACAGCCAGGAUGUUGGCUUAGAAGCAGCCAUCAUUUAAAGAAAGCGUAAUAGCUCACUGGUCGAGUCGGCCUGCGCGGAAGAUGUAACGGGGCUAAACCAUGCACCGAAGCUGCGGCAGCGACACUGUGUGUUGUUGGGUAGGGGAGCGUUCUGUAAGCCUGUGAAGGUGUGUCGUGAGGCAUGCUGGAGGUAUCAGAAGUGCGAAUGCUGACAUAAGUAACGAUAAAGCGGGUGAAAAGCCCGCUCGCCGGAAGACCAAGGGUUCCUGUCCAACGUUAAUCGGGGCAGGGUGAGUCGACCCCUAAGGCGAGGCCGAAAGGCGUAGUCGAUGGGAAACGGGUUAAUAUUCCCGUACUUGGUGUUACUGCGAAGGGGGGACGGAGAAGGCUAUGUUGGCCGGGCGACGGUUGUCCCGGUUUAAGCGUGUAGGUGUGUGUUCCAGGUAAAUCCGGUUCACUUUAACACUGAGGCGUGACGACGAGGCACUACGGUGCUGAAGCAACAAAUGCCCUGCUUCCAGGAAAAGCCUCUAAGCAUCAGGUAACAUCAAAUCGUACCCCAAACCGACACAGGUGGUCAGGUAGAGAAUACCAAGGCGCUUGAGAGAACUCGGGUGAAGGAACUAGGCAAAAUGGUGCCGUAACUUCGGGAGAAGGCACGCUGACACGUAGGUGAAGUGAUUUACUCAUGGAGCUGAA